rnacentral:rRNA from 1 species
GAUUACAUUUGGGGGGCGAAGCCUGACGCAGCACGCCGCGUGGAUGAUGAAGUUCUUCGGAAUGUAAAGUCCUUUUGUAGAGGAUAUCAAAGAGUUGCCGGCAGUGACGGUACUCUGCGAUUAAGCCACGGCUAAUUCUGUGCCUGCAGCCGCAGUGUUACAGGGUUGGCAACCGUU